rnacentral:rRNA from 1 species
AUUGAACGCUGGCGGCAGGCCUAACACAUGCAAGUCGAGCGGAUGAAGGGAGCUUGCUCCUGGAUUCAGCGGCGGACGGGUGAGUAAUGCCUAGGAAUCUGCCUGGUAGUGGGGGAUAACGUCCGGAAACGGGCGCUAAUACCGCAUACGUCCUGAGGGAGAAAGUGGGGGAUCUUCGGACCUCACGCUAUCAGAUGAGCCUAGGUCGGAUUAGCUAGUUGGUGGGGUAAAGGCCUACCAAGGCGACGACCCGUAACUGGUCUGAGAGGAUGAUCAGUCACACUGGAACUGAGACACGGUCCAGACUCCUACGGGAGGCAGCAGUGGGGAAUAUUGGACAAUGGGCGAAAGCCUGAUCCAGCCAUGCCGCGUGUGUGAAGAAGGUCUUCGGAUUGUAAAGCACUUUAAGUUGGGAGGAAGGGCAGUAAGUUAAUACCUUGCUGUCUUGACGUUACCAACAGAAUAAGCACCGGCUAACUUCGUG